rnacentral:lncRNA from 1 species
UGAGGGAAACUCAGACCAAAGAGCAGCGGCAAGAAAGCAGUUGGGUCCCCACAAACCGUCCGAAGUCAAGCUUCUCCAUCAUCUUUCUCCACCUGAUUCGUAGAGACCUCUGGAUGUCUGAGCCUAAGCAGGGCCACUAAAUGAGAGGGAAUUCCAUCACUGAAAAGCAACAAUGAAUAUAUUAAGGACCACAGGAGUACUUCUUAGAAUUGUUAUUUUUACAAAUAUGAAACAAUUCAAACAACAAGUAACAGAAUAGGACUCCUGUUUACUUCAGUAUGGCAAUAGAUACUCUGAAC